rnacentral:sRNA from 1 species
UGGAUGCAGCACUGUCCUUAUCUUCUGGCUGGCGAGUUUUUUGUUCCCAGACCAAACUGAGGGUGGGGCUGCCCAAUAAUGAGAUGCAGGUCUCAGCUGAGUCUGCUCUGAUCACCCAACAAGACCUAGUUCCCCAGCAGAGAGCGGCCCCACAACAAAAGAGGUCCAGCCCCUCAGAGGGAUUGUGUCCACCUGGACACCAUAUCUCAGAAGAUAGUAGAGACUGCAUCUCCUGCAAAUACGGACAGGACUAUAGCACUCACUGGAAUGACCUCCUUUUCUGCUUGCGCUGCACCAAGUGUGAUUCAGGUGAAGUGGAGGUAAGUCCCUGCACCACGACCAGAAACACAGUGUGUCAGUGCGAAGAAGGCACCUUCCGGGAAGAAGAUUCUCCUGAGAUGUGCCGGAAGUGCCGCACAGGGUGUCCCAGAGGGAUGGCCAAGGUCGGUGAUUGUACGCCCUGGAGUGACAUCGAAUGUGUCCA